rnacentral:rRNA from 1 species
AGUGAACGCUGGCGGCAGGCCUAACACAUGCAAGUCGAACGGCAGCACAGGGGCGCUUGCUCCCUGGGUGGCGAGUGGCGGACGGGUGAGGAAUACAUCGGAAUCUACCCUGUCGUGGGGGAUAACGUAGGGAAACUUACGCUAAUACCGCAUACGACCUCCGGGUGAAAGCAGGGGAUCGCAAGACCUUGCGCGAUUGGAUGAGCCGAUGUCCGAUUCGCUAGUUGGCGGGGUAAAGGCCCACCAAGGCGACGAUCGGUAGCUGGUCUGAGAGGAUGAUCAGCCACACUGGAACUGAGACACGGUCCAGACUCCUACGGGAGGCAGCAGUGGGGAAUAUUGGACAAUGGGCGAAAGCCUGAUCCAGCCAUGCCGCGUGAGUGAAGAAGGCCUUCGGGUUGUAAAGCCCUUUUGUUGGGAAAGAAAACUUUCCGGUUAAUACCCGGAGAGAAUGACGGUACCCAAAGAAUAAGCACCGGCUAACUUCGUG